AUUGAACGCUGGCGGCAUGCCUUACACAUGCAAGUCGAACGGCAGCACGGGAGCAAUCCUGGUGGCGAGUGGCGAACGGGUGAGUAAAGUAUCGGAACGUGCCCAGUCGUGGGGGAUAACGUAGCGAAAGUUACGCUAACACCGCAUACGAUCUAUGGUUGAAAGCGGGGGAUCGCAAGACCUCGCGCGAUUGGAGCGGCCGAUAUCAGAUUAGGUAGUUGGUGGGGUAAAGGCCCACCAAGCCGACGAUCUGUAGCUGGUCUGAGAGGACGACCAGCCACGCUGGGACGGAGACACGGCCCAGACUCCUACGGGAGGCAGCAGUGGGGAAUUUUGGACAAUGGGCGAAAGCCUGAUCCAGCCAUGCCGCGUGCAGGAUGAAGGCCUUCGGGUUGUAAACUGCUUUUGUACGGAACGAAAAGGACUGCCCUAAUACGGUGGUCCCAUGACGGUACCGUAAGAAUAAGCACCGGCUAACUACGUGCCAGCCGCCGCGGUAAAAC
rnacentral:rRNA from 1 species